UCCCUGGUGGCUCAGACGGUAAAGCGUCUGCCUGCAAUGCAGGAGACCCGGGUUCGAUUCCUGGGUCGGGAG
rnacentral:tRNA from 1 species